rnacentral:rRNA from 1 species
UACGAAGGGGGCUAGCGUUGUUCGGAAUCACUGGGCGUAAAGCGCACGUAGGCGGAUUCUUAAGUCAGGGGUGAAAUCCCGAGGCUCAACCUCGGAACUGCCUUUGAUACUGGGAAUCUUGAGUAUGGUAGAGGUUGGUGGAACAGCAAGUGUAGAGGUGAAAUUCGUAGAUAUUUGCUAGAACACCAGUGGCGAAGGCGGCCAACUGGACCAUAACUGACGCUGAGGUGCGAAAGCGUGGGUAGCAAACAGG